GCCUUCGUGGUGUAGUGGUCAGCGCGCUCGACGCCUAUUCGAGGGGUCCUUGGUUCGAGUCCCGGCGAAGGCG
rnacentral:tRNA from 1 species